rnacentral:misc_RNA from 1 species
CAAGGAACCAGAUUUACCUCCCACCUGAAACAAAUGAUGAACAAGCAAAACCAUAAAAUAACUGUUUUUAGACAUUGAGCUUCAGGCAUUGAAGAACAGUGAUUCUUCAAUCACUGUUGAUUGAACAGUGAUAUUGGGAAGCAAGCCAACAAUUUGUGCUUCAGGGAGAGUUUUCCAAACCAAUUGUUAUUAAUGAGUCACACAUCAUAUCUGAUUUAUGAUUUAUUAAACUUUAUGCAUUAAAUACUUUCCAAACAAGACAA